rnacentral:rRNA from 1 species
UCCUACGGGGGGCAGCAGUGAGGAAUAUUGGUCAAUGGUCGGGAGACUGAACCAGCCAAGCCGCGUGAGGGAUGAAGGUACAGAGUAUCGUAAACCUCUUUUGUCAGGGAACAAAGGCGGGGACGUGUCCCCGGAUGAGUGUACCUGAAGAAAAAGCAUCGGCUAACUCCGUGUCAGCAGCCGCGGUAAUACGGAGGAUGCGAGCGUUAUCCGGAUUUAUUGGGUUUAAAGGGUGCGCAGGCGGUCUGUUAAGUCAGCGGUCAAAGCCCGGGGCUCAACCCCGGCCCGCCGUUGAAACUGGCAGU